rnacentral:tRNA from 1 species
GGAGGAUUGGCCGAGGGGUAGGGCACCGGCUUGGCCCAAGCCGUGGUCGGGUCCGGAAGACCCGCGCACGUUCGAUCCGUGCAUCCUCCGCCG